rnacentral:tRNA from 1 species
GGGUGAUUAGCUCAGUUGGUUAGAGCAUCUCGUUUACACCGAGAGGGUCGGGAGUUCGAAUCUCUCAUCACCCACCA